rnacentral:rRNA from 1 species
GACGAACGCUGGCGGCGUGCUUAACACAUGCAAGUCGAGCGAAAAGGCCAUGCUUGCGGUGUACUCGCGUGGCCAACGGGUGGGUAACACACAGGUGGUCUGCCCUGCACUUCGGGAUAGACCUGUGCAACUGGGUCUAAUACCGGCCGGGAGCCAUUUUUAGUGUGAUGGUUGGAAAGUUUUGUCGGUUUAGGAUGAGCUCGCGGCCUAACUGCUUGUUGGUGGGGUAAUGGCCUACCGAAGCGGCGACGGGUAGCAGGACUGAGAGGGUGGACGGCCAUCCUGGGACUGAGAUACGGCACAGACACGUACGCGAGGGAGAUGUGGGGAAGCUUGACCAAUGGGCGCAAGCCUGAUGAAGAGAGGCUGCGUGUGGGAUGACGGUCUUCGGGUUGUAAACUCAAUUCGUUAGGGACGAAGCUCUUCGUGACGGUACCUAGACAAGAAGCCCCGGCUAACUACGUG